rnacentral:rRNA from 1 species
CCUACGGGGGGCAGCAGUGGGGAAUAUUGGACAAUGGGGGCAACCCUGAUCCAGCAAUUCUGUGUGCACGAAGAAGGUUUUCGGAUUGUAAAGUGCUUUCAGCAGGGAAGAAGGAAGUGACGGUACCUGCAGAAGAAGCGACGGCUAAAUACGUGCCAGCAGCCGCGGUAAUACGUAUGUCGCGAGCGUUAUCCGGAAUUAUUGGGCAUAAAGGGCAUCUAGGCGGCCUGACAAGUCAGGGGUGAAAACCUGCGGCUCAACCGCAGGCCUGCCUUUGAAACUGUGAGGCUGGAGUACCGGAGAGGUGGACGGAACUGCACGAGUAGAGGUGAAAUUCGUAGAUAUGUGCAGGAAUGCCGAUGAUGAAGAUAGUUCACUGGACGGUAACUGACGCUGAAGUGCGAAAGCCGGGGGAGCAAACAGGAUUAGAUACCCCUGUAGUC